UAACACAUGCAAGUCGAGCGAUCCCUUCGGGGAUAGCGGCGGACGGGUGAGUAACGCGUGGGAAUGUACCCUUCAGUGCGGAAUAGCCUCUGGAAACGGAGAUUAAUACCGCAUACGCCCUUCGGGGGAAAGAUUGAUCGGUGAAGGAUCAGCCCGCGUUUGAUUAGGUUGUUGGUGGGGUAAUGGCCUACCAAGCCGACGAUCAGUAGCUGGUUUGAGAGGAUGAUCAGCCACACUGGGACUGAGACACGGCCCAGACUCCUACGGGAGGCAGCAUCGCCCGCCGCGCCCCGC
rnacentral:rRNA from 1 species